CAAUAGCGUAUAUUAAAGUUGUUGCAGUUAAAAAGCUCGUAGUCGGAUUUUGGCAUCAUGCCGAACUGUCAGCCGAUUGGUUUGUACGGUUUGGCGGGUGCUCUCCUUCCGGAGGCUCGUUUCCUCUUUCAUUAGAGGGUUCGAUGGUUCCGGGUCUUUUACUUUGAAAAAAUUAGAGUGUUCAAAGCAGGCCUAUGCUCUGAAUAGGUUAGCAUGGAAUAAUGGAAUAGGACCUCGGUUCUAUUUUGUUGGUUUUGAGGACUAGAGUAAUGAUUAAUAGGGAUAGUUGGGGGCAUUCAUAUUUAAUUGUCAGAGGUGAAAUUCUUGGAUUUAUGAAAGAUGAACUUCUGCGAAAGCAUUUGCCAAGGAUGUUUUCAUUAAUCAAGAACGAAAGUUAGGGGAUCGAAGACGAUCAGAUACCAU
rnacentral:rRNA from 1 species